rnacentral:rRNA from 1 species
UAGAGUUUGAUCCUGGCUCAGAUUGAACGCUGGCGGCAUGGUUAAAACAUGCAAGUCGAACGAGAAACAGACUUCGGUCUGUGGACAGUGGCGAAAGGGCGAGUAAUGCGUUUCUAACGUGCCCAGAGGUCAGGGAUAGCCCAGGGAAACUUGGAAUAAUACCAAUCGUAUGGUUUUGCGUGCAAAGGUUUACUGCCUCUGGAUCGGGAAACGUCCUAUCAGCUUGUUGGUGAGGUAAAGGCUCACCAAGGCUAAGACGGGUAGCGGGUGUGAGAGCACGGCCCGCCGCAUCGGGACUGAGACACUGCCCGGACUCCUACGGGAGGCUGCAGUAACGAAUAUUCCGCAAUGCGCGAAAGCGUGACGGAGCAAUGCCGCGUGAAGGAUGAAGCACCUUCGAUGUGUAAACCACUGUCAGAAUCUAGAAAUACUGAUCAACCCCAAAGGAAGGGCCGGCUAACUUCGUGCCAGCAGCCGCGGUAAUACGAAGGGCCCGAGCGUUGCGCGGAAUCAUUGGGCUUAAAGCGUACGCAGGCGGAUUUGUAGGUAUCUUGUGAAAUCCCACGGCUCAACCGUGGAACUGCAGGGUAAACCACAAAUCUUGAGACAAGUAGGGGUCAGUGGAACGAUAUGUGGAGCGGUGAAAUGCGUAGAUAUAUAUCGGAACGCCAAAGGAGAAAUCAGGCCACUGGGCCUGUUCUGACGCUGAGGCACGAAAGCGUGGGUAGCGAACGGGAUUAGAUACCCCGGUAGUCCACGCCGUAAACGAUGCGCACUAGGUGGAGGAGGUUUUGACUCGCUCUCGGCCGAAGCAAAAGUGUUAAGUGCGCCGCCUGGGGAGUACGGUCGCAAGGCUAAAACUCAAAGGAAUUGACGGGGGCUCACACAAGCGGUGGAGCAUGUUGCUUAAUUCGAGGCAACGCGAAGAACCUUACCUAGGCUUGACAUGCACGGAUUAACUCUAAGAAACUAGAGCCACGCCCUCGGGUGGAACGUGCACAGGUGCUGCAUGGCUGUCGUCAGCUCGUGCUGUGAAGUGUCGGGUUAAGUCCCUUAACGAGCGCAACCCUUAUCGUUAGUUGCCAGCGCGUAUGGCGAGGACUCUAGCGAGACUGCCGGUGUUAAACCGGAGGAAGGUGGGGAUGACGUCAAGUCCUCAUGGCCUUUAUGCCCAGGGCUGCAAACGUGCUACAAUGGCGUGGACAGAGCGACGCAAGACCGCGAGGUGGAGCAAAUCGCAAAAACCACGCCCCAGUUCGGAUUGGAGUCUGAAACUCGACUCCAUGAAGCCGGAAUCGCUAGUAAUCGCAGAUCAGCUACGCUGCGGUGAAUACGUUCCUGAGCCUUGUACACACCGCCCGUCAAGUCAUGGAAGCCGGGAGUGCCCGAAGCCGUCGCGAUUCAGCGACGACCACGGCGAGUUCGGUGACUGGGACUAAGUCGUAACAAGGUAACC